AUUGAACGCUGGCGGCAUGCUUUACACAUGCAAGUCGAACGGCAGCACGGACUUCGGUCUGGUGGCGAGUGGCGAACGGGUGAGUAAUACAUCGGAACGUACCCAGUAAUGGGGGAUAACUAUCCGAAAGGAUAGCUAAUACCGCAUACGCCCUACGGGGGAAAGAGGGGGAUCGCAAGACCUCUUGUUAUUGUAGCGGCCGAUGGCUGAUUAGCUAGUUGGUGGGGUAAAGGCCUACCAAGGCAACGAUCAGUAGCGGGUCUUAGAGGACGGUCCGCCACACUGGAACUGAGACACGGUCCAGACUCCUACGGGAGGCAGCAGUGGGGAAUCUUGGACAAUGGGCGCAAGCCUGAUCCAGCAAUGCCGCGUGCGUGAAGAAGGCCUUCGGGUUGUAAAGCGCUUUUGUCAGGGAGCAAAUCCUUGUGGCUAAUACCCACCGGGGAUGAGAGUACCUGAAGAAUAAGGACCGGCUAACUACGUGCCAGCCGCCGCCGUAAGAC
rnacentral:rRNA from 1 species